rnacentral:rRNA from 1 species
CCUACGGGAGGCAGCAGUAGGGAAUCUUCCACAACGGACGAAAGUCUGAUGGAGCAACGCCGCGUGGGUGAAGAAGGGUUUCGGCUCGUAAAACUCUGUUGUUAAAGAAGAACAUAUCUGAGAGUAACUGUUCAGGUAUUGACGGUAUUUAACCAGAAAGCCACGGCUAACUACGUGCCAGCAGCCGCGGUAAU